AUGUGGACACUGAGGCCAUCGACCUGUGAGUGCCAGGCUGGGAAGGGAGGCAGGGCUUUGGCACUCAGCACGCGAGCUUGCGGACUGAGGAGCAUCCGGACCGCGGGGCCUGAGCCCGUGAACUGGCCGGGGGCUCAGCUGCUGCUGCUGCUCCUGGCCCUGCCCACCAGCCUGACAGCACACAGGGAGCCGGCCUGGGGGAAGCCGCGGGGCCUUUGCCCAGGGUGCAGGAGCACAGCGAGGCGCCCCGUUCUCGUGGGGGUAGCCACAGCCCGCUCCUGGCAGCCGCAGAGUGGGGGACCCGUGGCCGCGUCUGCAGGGACAGCGGUGAGCCCCAGGGUGGGCAGAGUCUGGUGUCUGAGCACCAGCCGGUUCAUCGGCCGCUAUUGGAGGUGGCUGGGCUGCCAGGGUCUCUCCCCAGUCCCCCUCCAACUUCCUUCCAACCAGAGGUGCUUCUGCUGUUUCCCCAAAUGUCCGUAUGCGCCAGCGCCCCUCGAAUGCCCUCUUCCCUUUCUGCCCAUCCCAGCCCCCAGGGCCUUGCUCUUUCUCCAGGAGGCCUGCCAGGCCCAUCCUGAGCUCACGCGGCUUCCUCCAGGAAGCCCCUGGGGACCCCACCCCGAGGACCCUUGCCCUCUUGGGUUCCCAGGAGCCAGGGCUGGGUGUCUGGCCCGGUCCUCCCUCCCCAGCAGCCUCAGCCCCGCCCGCUCACGCCGGCCUCUCGGCCCCCACCCCAGCAACUCCCGGAACACAGGAUGUUCUCAGCUGAGGACACCUUGCAGCCCCGAGCUCAGCCUCGCCUCACCACGCCCCAGUCCCAAAGCAGGUUUCCCUGUGCAGGGGCCCCGGGCGAGCCCGCGUGGAGACUGGGCAGGGCUGCGGCCGCUCUUCAGGAAAGCGAGGGCCGGGCGUUCCCAGGCGGCGCUCCUACUGGGAUUGUGCUGGGCUUGUGGAAAGCAGCCGGGGAGGACUCGCCCCGAGCCCCUCCCUGCCCGCCCGGCCCUGCCGGGUCCCAGGGCAUGGGUGCAGCUGGGUGAGGAAACGGGAGAAGCCGCAUCACUGCUGCCUGGAGGCGAGGACUCGACCCAGGGACCCCUCUCGCCACCACGGCCACCUGCUCAGGCCCAGGGGUGA
rnacentral:lncRNA from 1 species